CUGCAUCCACUGAUAGACCUUAAAUAAUUUGCUGCUGUUGUUUAGACUUGCACUAGGAUGCAAAUGGGAACAAAAAUCCCUGCACUUUCUGCACUAUGUGGCAGCCUAGACUGACUAGGGGAAUAUACAA